rnacentral:misc_RNA from 1 species
UAUGAAGAACGCAGCGAAAUGCGAUAAGUAAUGUGAAUUGCAGAAUUCAGUGAAUCAUCGAAUCUUUGAACGCACCUUGCACUCCUUGGUAUUCCGAGGAGUACGCCUGUUCGAGUGUUAUGAAGCUCUCAAAACGCAAUUGGCUUAAAACCUGAUUGUUGUUUUGGAUUUGAACUUUGCCGUGUUAUAACGGCUGGUUUUAAAAGUAUUAGCUGGUACUAGAACGAAUUGGUUCUACUCAACGUGAUAAUUAUCUGAUCGUUGAGGACAUUCCUUUCACGAGGAAUGGCCAUAGUAAAUUCAAUGGACUGCUUCUAAUCUGGCUUUAAUUCUUUAUUGGAUUAACCACUUUUCAAAUCUGACCUCGAAUCAGGUGGGACUACCCGCUGAACUUAAGCAUAUCAAUAAGCGGAGGA